rnacentral:rRNA from 1 species
UACGUAGGAGGCGAGCGUUGUUCGGAAUUACUGGGCGUAAAGGGCGCGUAGGCGGCCUUCUAAGUCGAACGUGAAAUCCCCGGGCUCAACCCGGGAACUGCGUCCGAUACUGGAAGGCUUGAAUCCGGGAGAGGGAUGCGGAAUUCCAGGUGUAGCGGUGAAAUGCGUAGAUAUCUGGGAGAAUACCGGUGGCGAAGGCGGCAUCCUGGACCGGCAUUGACGCUGAAGCGCGAAAGCUAGGGGAGCAAACGGG